UACAGAGGGGGCAAGCGUUAUUCGGAAUUAUUGGGCGUAAAGGGCUCGUAGGUGGCCAACUAAGUCAGACGUGAAAUCCCUCGGCUUAACCGGGGAACUGCGUCUGAUACUGGAUGGCUUGAGUUCGGGAGAGGGAUGCGGAAUUCCAGGUGUAGCGGUGAAAUGCGCAGAUAUCAGGAGGAACACCGGUGGCGAAGGCGGAUCUCUGGGCCUUACCUGACGCUCAGGCGCGAAAGCUAGGGGAGCGAACAGG
rnacentral:rRNA from 1 species